ACCAUUCCUUGCCUACCCACAGAAAAUCUACACAAAAUUGACUGCUUUUAAGUUUCUUUCCUCUGUGAUUGCAAUUCCUCUUCCUCCAUCAUCGACUAUCAGGAUUAAGUGCUCGCAUCCUCCUUCCGGAAACCCUCUCCCAAAGCCUCUUUCUUAUGGAAGAUGUGCUUGAACCGAAGCAGCAGCAGCGGCGGCCUAAGCGUCCAAUUUAGAAGCGAAGAUGGAGACUCCGUUGGCAUAGGCGCAAAUGAGGCCUUUCCUCUCACAAUUGAGGCGACAACCAUCAUAAUGUAGGGACAUUGCAUUUCCCACACCUUCUUUCAACUCACGUGAAACCAGCACUUUUGAUUUUGAUUAACUACUCCAAUUUCACUCCUUGCAUACUGUUUCUGUCUGAGAAACGACAGAGUACUCUGAAAACUCGGGCCUAAAAACUAAGUGCAGAUACAACAGAAGAAGAGGAAAAUAUCAUAAGGUUGAUGAGUAACUCAUUCCAAAAGCACAAUCCAAGCCUUAUUUUAUUUUGAUGGCUUUUUGUCCAUAGGAGGUAAUGGCUGAUAAGGAAUUUUUACAUGAAAAAUACCCACAGAACAAAGUACAUAUGGAGCACAAUCUACUCCAAGAUCUCACUCAUGACUGGUUUGUUAUAGUUCGAUACCCACAAAACAAUACCAAAGGAGGGAUUAUAAAAGGAGCAAUGUCUACUUACACAACAAAUAUCAUCUGAUGAUGAAGAAGAAGAACCAUUGGUGUUUAAAAAGAAAACAAGGUAGCACCGACAAAGCUUACACAACGUGUAUCAUUUGAUCAUGAAGAAAUCAAGGAGACAGAUGGCAUUACAUCCUCUGAUAAAGAACAAACUUCAAUUCAAAUCUACAUGACAAACACAUCUAAGAGAACCAGAGUUAGUGGUACGAACACCAUGAGGAAGCCAAAAGGACAGGAAAAGAAUAAAAAGUGUAAUUCUAUGUAACGCUUACAUUCCAUUUCCUGCAAUUUACAUCAUUUAUUUGACUAUUUUAUUUCUAA